rnacentral:tRNA from 1 species
GGCGAGGUGGCCGAGUGGCUAGGCAGAGGUCUGCAAAACCUCGUACAGCGGUUCGAAUCCGCUCCUCGCCUCCA